AGAGUUUGAUCCUGGCUCAGGACGAACGCUGGCGGCGUGCCUAAUACAUGCAAGUCGAGCGAACUUGCGGGAGCUUGCUCCCAAAAGUUAGCGGCGGACGGGUGAGUAACACGUGGGCAACCUGCCUGUAAGACUGGGAUAACUUCGGGAAACCGGAGCUAAUACCGGAUAAUUCUUUUCCUCACAUGUGGAAAAGCUGAAAGAUGGCUUCGGCUAUCACUUACAGAUGGGCCCGCGGCGCAUUAGCUAGUUGGUGAGGUAACGGCUCACCAAGGCGACGAUGCGUAGCCGACCUGAGAGGGUGAUCGGCCACACUGGGACUGAGACACGGCCCAGACUCCUACGGGAGGCAGCAGUAGGGAAUCUUCCGCAAUGGACGAAAGUCUGACGGAGCAACGCCGCGUGAGUGAUGAAGGUUUUCGGAUCGUAAAACUCUGUUGUUAGGGAAGAACAAGUACCGUUCGAAUAGGGCGGUACCUUGACGGUACCUAACCAGAAAGCCACGGCUAACUACGUGCCAGCAGCCGCGGUAAUACGUAGGUGGCAAGCGUUGUCCGGAAUUAUUGGGCGUAAAGCGCGCGCAGGCGGUCUUUUAAGUCUGAUGUGAAAGCCCCCGGCUCAACCGGGGAGGGUCAUUGGAAACUGGGAGACUUGAGUGCAGAAGAGGAGAGUGGAAUUCCACGUGUAGCGGUGAAAUGCGUAGAGAUGUGGAGGAACACCAGUGGCGAAGGCGACUCUCUGGUCUGUAACUGACGCUGAGGCGCGAAAGCGUGGGGAGCGAACAGGAUUAGAUACCCUGGUAGUCCACGCCGUAAACGAUGAGUGCUAAGUGUUAGAGGGUUUCCGCCCUUUAGUGCUGCAGCAAACGCAUUAAGCACUCCGCCUGGGGAGUACGGCCGCAAGGCUGAAACUCAAAGGAAUUGACGGGGGCCCGCACAAGCGGUGGAGCAUGUGGUUUAAUUCGAAGCAACGCGAAGAACCUUACCAGGUCUUGACAUCCUCUGACAAUCCUAGAGAUAGGACUUUCCCCUUCGGGGGACAGAGUGACAGGUGGUGCAUGGUUGUCGUCAGCUCGUGUCGUGAGAUGUUGGGUUAAGUCCCGCAACGAGCGCAACCCUUGAUCUUAGUUGCCAGCAUUCAGUUGGGCACUCUAAGGUGACUGCCGGUGACAAACCGGAGGAAGGUGGGGAUGACGUCAAAUCAUCAUGCCCCUUAUGACCUGGGCUACACACGUGCUACAAUGGAUGGUACAAAGGGCUGCAAGACCGCGAGGUUUAGCCAAUCCCAUAAAACCAUUCUCAGUUCGGAUUGCAGGCUGCAACUCGCCUGCAUGAAGCCGGAAUCGCUAGUAAUCGCGGAUCAGCAUGCCGCGGUGAAUACGUUCCCGGGCCUUGUACACACCGCCCGUCACACCACGAGAGUUUGUAACACCCGAAGUCGGUGGGGUAACCGCAAGGAGCCAGCCGCCUAAGGUGGGACAGAUGAUUGGGGUGAAGUCGUAACAAGGUAGCCGUAUCGGAAGGUGCGGCUGG
rnacentral:rRNA from 1 species